UCCACAGCCCUGGAAGCCAUCGUGACCGAGACGGCUGGCAAGUACUGCGUCGGCGACGAGAUCACCCUCGCAGACGCAUGUCUGCUCCCCCAGAUGGGCAACGCUCAGCGCUGGGGCAUCGACGUCAGCCCUUUCCCGAUCCUGGUUCGGAUCUGCGCCGCCCUCGAAGCUCACCCGCUCGUCAAAAAGGCACAUCCGUCUUGCCAACCGGAUGCACAAGCAGAUGCUUGAAAGUAUACAGCGGUGCCUUAUCAGAAGGCAAUAAAAGGAUGCAUUGCUCAAACCUA